AGUAACGCGUGAGGAACCUGCCUUUCGGAGGGGGACAACAGUUGGAAACGACUGCUAAUACCGCAUGAUACAUCGAAGCCGCAUGGCUUUGAUGUCAAAGAUUUAUCGCCGAAAGAUGGCCUCGCGUCUGAUUAGCUUGUUGGUGAGGUAACGGCUCACCAAGGCGACGAUCAGUAGCCGGACUGAGAGGUUGGCCGGCCACAUUGGGACUGAGAUACGGCCCAGACUCCUACGGGAGGCAGCAG
rnacentral:rRNA from 1 species